GUUAAUGUAACUUAUUAA
rnacentral:tRNA from 1 species